rnacentral:rRNA from 1 species
UACGUAGGGCGCGAGCGUUGUCCGGAUUUACUGGGCGUAAAGAGCGCGCAGGCGGUCGUUCAAGUCGCGUGUGAAAGCCCCCGGCUCAACUGGGGAGGGUCACGCGAUACUGAUCGACUCGAAGGCAGGAGAGGGUAGUGGAAUUCCCGGUGUAGUGGUGAAAUGCGUAGAUAUCGGGAGGAACACCAGUGGCGAAGGCGACUACCUGGCCUGUUCUUGACGCUGAGGCGCGAAAGCUAGGGGAGCAAACAGG